CAGUCGCCGCGGUAAUACGGAGGGUGCAAGCGUUAAUCGGAAUUACUGGGCGUAAAGCGUGCGUAGGCGGUUCGUUAAGACUGUUGUGAAAGCCCCGGGCUCAACCUGGGAAUGGCAAUGGAUACUGGCGAGCUAGAGUGUGUCAGAGGAUGGUGGAAUUCCCGGUGUAGCGGUGAAAUGCGUAGAGAUCGGGAGGAACAUCAGUGGCGAAGGCGGCCAUCUGGGACAACACUGACGCUGAGGCACGAAAGCGUGGGGAGCAAACAGGAUUAGAGACCCCCGUAGUCCCUGUCUCUUAUAC
rnacentral:rRNA from 1 species